UCACCUGUAGAAAGGGGUCAGUCAUUUGUACCCUGCUUCACUUGGUGUGUAUGUGAAGGUGCUUUGAAAUCAAGUGCUCUGCAAACUGGAGAGAAUUACUACUAGUAUUCCGUGAAACUACAAGCUGACCCAAUUCCACUCAUUUAAUCCUUCUCUUGCUCUGUUGCCCAGAGGUUGCAGUGAGCUGAGAUCAUGCCACUGCACUAUAGCCUAGGUGACAGAGUGAGACUCUGUCUCCAAAAAACACAAAAGUUUCUUUUUUCAAAACAUUUCACUUUAAAAGGAGCCAAUUUAAAGAAAACUGUUAAUAGUUCAGGUAACAGGCAGAUACAGGAAAAGCUGCUGACAGUGUUGUAUGAGGUUUGAGGGCUUUGAUCCAAGCUGGUCCCACUCAGUCCAUAGCAGAGAAUGAAAGGGCCCAGAGAGGGUGGUGACCUCUGCCUGAAGUCACACAGUGAGUCGAGGACAGGGAGGUGACCCCAGGCUUCUAUAUGUAGGGCUGGAGGAUGUUCUGGGACACAGUUCAAUUCUCAUCUGUCACCCACUUUGGCUAUUAGAGAUCAACCCCU
rnacentral:sRNA from 1 species